AGUUGACCGUUAAAGCGCGCAUCCGCAUGGGUUCUACUGAGCAUGCGCAAAGAUUUUCGCGCCCUUUGAAAGAAGCCGUUGGUCAGUCAGACAGCGUACGGGCACACAUUGUUUGGCUGUGACUGGAUGAAGCUGACUUAUUAUCACAGAGUUCAAGAGGAUCAUCACCACAGACCUUAUGCAGUUUUUUUUAUGGACUUGAUGGCCUGGUCCCAAGACAGCUGGAUGAGUACAAAUCUGCAGUAGUGUCUGGGAGAAGGCUGGCACUCAAAAGCAUUUUUAAGUGUGUUGACAAAGAUGACACAAGUGAGAGAAGGACGGCUGCCUUGCUUGGUCUGUCAUACAUCUUGUCUGAAGACCCAUCAAAUGUCAUCAGGAUGUGUGAUGCUCAUGGUUCGACACUAGAUGUGGCCAUUAAGGGAAUGCAAGUCGGCAUCCUAAAAGGCUAUGAAGGUGCACUGGAGGACGACCUUCCGGAGGAUGUUUUCAAUGUGGCAUUUGUGGUGGAGGAGACCAUUGUUUUACACAACAUCAGUGAUGUAUCAUGCAGCUUUGCCAUGCUUAUGGGCAUCACCUAUUGUGUAAACCUUGAGUACCCAGCAUGUAUGAAGUACUCUAGAGUUUUUACAGAGAGUGGUGAUGAAGAUCAAACCAGACCAAGCUUCUGCAUGGGUACACAGUUUAAGAGACAAACUCUUGAGGUACAACUUCUAGAACAAGCAUGUACUGGAGUAGUCAAUAUGUCUUGGUAUUGGGAAUAUACUGUAUGUUUCGAGCUUUUAUUUUUGAAUGUUAUCAGGCUUAUGUUGGCCUAAAUCUGUUAUUUCAUAUGUGUUGUCAAACACUCACACACAAACUAACACACCCUCUGUCUAUUAUUAUUAUUGUUGUUGUUGUUGUUGUUGUUGUUGUUGUUUAUAUUCAGUUUCCCAUCUUGGAAUAGUUCCUGCUGUGUAAAAAGUUUUUAGAUUUUCUCUAUGCACUCAACACAUGUAAGCAAAACACACUUACUGCAUUUACUCAAACACAUACACACACAAUCUCACUUAAACACACACAUUAACACUCACUUAAAGGAAUAGUUCACCCAAAAAUAAAAAUUCACUUGCCAUCCCAGAUGUGUAUGACUUUAUUUCUUCUGCAGAACACAGAAGAAUAUUUCAGCUCUGUACCUCCUUACAAUGCAAGUGAAUGGGUGCCAAAACUUUGACAUAAAUGUAGCGGAAAAGUAAUCCAAACAACUCCAGAUGUAACUCUUAUUUUACUAAACACCUUGCCAUUGCAUUCUACAGGCACAAUCAUCAUUUCAAGCUUGAUUACACUUCCUAGUGCUUGACACAAGCACUGAGCCACUAGAUGGAGCUAGGAAAUGUAAUCAAGCUUGAAAUCAUGAUAGUGCCUGUAGAAUGCAAUAGCAAGAUGGUCAGUGAAAUAGGAGUUACGUUUUGGUCUGUUCUCUCCCAAAACUGAUUGGAUCACUUCAGAAGAAGUUUUAUUAAACCACUGGAGUUGUUUGGAUUACUUUUAUGCUGCUUUUGGCAGUCAUUCACUUGCAUUGUAAGGAGCUAAGGAGCUCAGAUAUUCUUUUGUGGGUGAGUAAAUAAUAUAGAAUUUUCAUUUUUUGGGUGAACUGUUCUUUUAAACUUAAUCACUCAUAAACAUUCAAACACUUAACAUUUGCCAGAAGGACCAAAGGACUAAAAUCUAAAUUUCUUAAAUGUUUUUUAAGCUUGUUUACAAUUUUCCAUGAUUAAAGUCUCCCUGAUAUGUGCAGA